rnacentral:rRNA from 1 species
AUACGUAGGGGGCGAGCGUUGUCCGGAAUGAUUGGGCGUAAAGGGCGCGUAGGCGGCGCGGUAAGUCUGGAGUGAAAGUCCUGCUUUCAAGGUGGGAAUUGCUUUGGAUACUGCCGCGCUUGAGUGCAGGAGAGGUUAUCGGAAUUCCCGGUGUAGCGGUGAAAUGCGUAGAGAUCAGGAGGAACACCAGUGGCGAAGGCGGGUAACUGGACUGCAACUGACGCUGAGGCGCGAAAGUGUGGGGAGCAAACAGGAUUAGAUACCCUGGUAGUCCACACUGUAAACGAUGAAUGCUAGGUGUAAGAGGUAUCGACCCCUUUUGUGCCGGAGUCAACACAAUAAGCAUUCCGCCUGGGGAGUACGGCCGCAAGGUUGAAACUCAAAUGAAUUGACGGGGGCACGAGCUACUCG